rnacentral:rRNA from 1 species
AGUGAACGCUGGCGGUAGGCCUAACACAUGCAAGUCGAACGGCAGCACAGUAAGAGCUUGCUCUUACGGGUGGCGAGUGGCGGACGGGUGAGGAAUACAUCGGAAUCUACUUUUUCGUGGGAGAUAACGUAGGGAAACUUACGCUAAUACCGCAUACGACCUACGGGUGAAAGCAGGGGAUCUUCGGACCUUGCGCGAUUGAAUGAGCCAAUGUCGGAUUAGCUAGUUGGCGGGGUAAAGGCCCACCAAGGCGACGAUCCGUAGCUGGUCUGAGAGGAUGAUCAGCCACACUGGAACUGAGACACGGUCCAGACUCCUACGGGAGGCAGCAGUGGGGAAUAUUGGACAAUGGGCGCAAGCCUGAUCCAGCCAUACCGCGUGGGUGAAGAAGGCCUUCGGGUUGUAAAGCCCUUUUGUUGGGAAAGAAAAGCAGCAGGUUAAUACCCCGCUGUUCUGACGGUACCCAAAGAAUAAGCACCGGCUAACUUCGU